CAUGGCCUCCUACCCCCCUCCACCACCGUAGGCACCAUGGCCUCCUACCCCCCUUCACCACCGUAGGCGCACACAGACAGCAGAUCCGUGCUGGAGAAGAGCAGCUCCAGUCACGGUUGGGUGCAGCCGCGACGAAGAUGAAGGAGCUCCGCCACUCGUCUUUGCCUCCUCGCCGUGUCCUUGUUGCUCCUCCUCCUCUCUCCCUCCGUUCCUAGCAGCGCAACAUCCAGGGACAAGGGGAAGGAGCAGCUCGACCCGGCUCCAUCUAUCUUUCCUAAAUGCACGAGGACUGGAGGAGCAGGUGGCAAGGGAAGCCAUCAUGGCCUCCAUAUCUCUUUCCGUCGUGCACGAGGACUGGUCGAGAAGGUGGCAAGGGAAGCCGCCAUGGCUAGCCGCGGUGCUGCACAGGGAUGCCUACCUCCGGGUUUCCGUCUUGUCUCCAAUCCCCUUCCGUUUCAGUGUGUGUUCUUUUUUCCUCUUGGCCCGAUCUGCUCACAUGUUUGGGGUUUCAUGUUGUAGGGAUCAAGUCUGGUGCGGGCGGUGUGGUAUAAUGCAUAGUGCCAUUUAUCUGGUACAGGAGAAUGUCAAUGGUAAAGCAUUUGGUUCUGAUGGAUCAUAUUAUUGGUUCUCUGUUCAACUAAAGAUGGCUUCAGAUAAGACUACGGUUUGAAUAUUCAUGUAUUAUUUUUCUGCAUGUUGUAGUUUCUUGUUCUUCUAUAAACUGGAAGGCCAAUAUAUAUUUCUCAAUGUAUCAUUUUGGGACUGUUUGACUGCUGAACAAUAUUGCCAUGCUGAUCAUUCUUCAUGUCUUUGCAAUUUUUGGUCUUUGUUUUGAUUUCGUUGUGUGGCUGUGCUUCGAUCCAGGUGAGUUGAGUUACGGCUUGGUUGGAGAUGUUGAUGUUGUUCGAGACGUGUGUUGGAUUCACCGUUUUCAAGGUUCUGAAUAAGGGCAAGUUUGACUAGGUCGAAAUAAAUUCAUUUGUGUCAAGUAUCACCUUUUGCCAUAUCAAUAUGAAAAGUUGUCAUAUAUUGGCCUGUCAAAUUUAUCAGGCACACAUCUGACCUCCGGGAAACGAGCAAGCACAUCAAGCCACUACCAGAUUUCCACCCUUCCCUAUACACGUUGGCCCAUCUAUGAGGUACCAACCAGCUCCAUGGCCAAAAUCAAAACCCAUCGCAAAGACCUCAUGCUGAAGGUUACCAAACAAAGUGUCAUGUUUCUCUAUGAACACGUGAUAAGAUGAUAUGAGCCCCUUUGUGGCUUUGUCUGCAGAUUCAGCUGCAGUACACCUGAUGGUGCAGCAGUCAUUUGUUCCUUGUCUAGAAUGGCAUGUUCCUCUGGUUGCUUAUGAUAAAAAAGGCAAGACAAAACUAAAAAGGUGAUCUGGCAUAAGUGGAAGGAGGGAAGCUGCCGUAAGAUCUGACAAUAACUUGCCUCCGCUCUAACAAGAGCAUGUUCGUUCAGACCUUACUAAAAGUUAUUUAUAUAUAGUAGGUGUUUCCAUUGUAACUAUCAAAUUCAAACUCCUAGAUGUCUAUGUCAGGAUGUAGGACGUAGUCCAGGCAGGGAUAUCCCCGUUGAUCUUUUCGUGGAUCCUUUCACACUUCAUUCUGCAAAGUGCUGGUGAUUUAAAUAGAAUCUCUCUGUUCAAAACACAAUAUAAUUCAAGCUACUAGAAGAGCUUGUUCAUUCA